AUACCGGGCCUUUUUGGGCUUGGUAAUUGGAAUGAGGGAGAGUUAAACGGACCAUCGAGUAUCCAUUGGAGGGCAAGUCUGGUGCCAGCAGCUGCGGUAAUACCAGCUCCAAUAGCGUAUAUUAAAGUUGUUGCAGUUAAAAAGCUCGUAGUUGGACUUGUGUGCGCUGUCCGCGGGUGGCCUGCGCCCAAAAGGGCGUUUCGGUUCGGCCCCGGUGGCGCCUUGAAAUCUGCAGCUGGGGGGACGUUGGCCUUAACUGGUCGGCGACCGCACGCCGGCUGCUCGGUUACUGUGAGAAAAUUAGAGUGUUCAAGGCAGGCAUUGGGUGCAAUUGAAUACAUUAGCAUGGAAUAAUAAAAUAUGGCUCCUGCCGUAUUUUGUUGGUUUUGACUGGUGGGAGUAAUGAUUGAUAGGGACGGUUGGGGGUGCUAGUAUUGAGCGGCCAGAGGUGAAAUUCAUGGAUUCGCUCAAGACUAACUUAUGCGAAAGCAUUCACAAAGGACGUCCUCUUUAAUCAAGAACGAAAGUUGGGGGAUCGAAGACGAUCAGAUACCGUCGUAGUCUCAACCAUAAACUAUGUCGACUUGGGAUCGGCGGUAGUUUUUUCAUUAAGACACUGUCGGGACCACGGGAGAAAUCAAAGUGUCUGGACUCUGGGGGAAGUAUGGUCGCAAGGCUGAAACUUGAAGGAAUUGACGGAAGGGCACCACCAGGAGUGGAGCCUGCGGCUUAAUUUGACCCAACACGGGGAAACUUACCAGGUCCAGAGAUGUAGAGGAUUGACAGAUUGAAGCUCUUUCUUGAUCACUUCGGUGGUGGUGCAUGGCCGUUCUUAGUUGGUGGAGUGAUUUGUCUGGUUAAUUCCGUUAACGAACGAGACCUCAGCCUGCUAGUGUAGUCGGCUGGAUUGCCUUUGGCGAUCCGUGAUUUCGACUUCUUAGAGGGACAAUCGACGCGCAGUCGAUGGAAGUUUGAGGCAAUAACAGGUCUGUGAUGCCCUUAGAUGUUCUGGGCCGCACGCGCGCUACACUGCUGGGCUCAGCGAGUUUUACUUGGCCGAGAGGCCCGGUUAAUCUUGUGAAAUCCCAGCGUGCUUGGGCUCGCCUCCUGCAACUGGAGGCGCCAACGAGGAAUUCCUAGUAGACGCAGGUCAUCAACCUGCAUCGAUUACGUCCCUGCCCUUUGUACACACCGCCCGUCGUUCCAUAAGAGUGAGGCAUCCGGUGAAUUCUCGGGAGAGCCUGGGCGUGGCCAGCAAUGGUCUGCU
rnacentral:rRNA from 1 species